rnacentral:rRNA from 1 species
AUACGUAGGGGGCAAGCGUUAUCCGGAUUUACUGGGUGUAAAGGGAGCGUAGACGGUUUGGCAAGUCUGAUGUGAAAGCCCGGGGCUCAACCGCGGGACUGCAUUGGAAACUGUCAGACUUGAGUGCAGGAGAGGUAAGUGGAAUUCCUAGUGUAGCGGUGAAAUGCGUAGAUAUUAGGAGGAACACCGUUGGCGAAGGGGGCUUACUGGACUGUAACUGACGAUGAGACUCGUGAGCGUGGGGAGCAAACAGGAUUAUAUACCCGGGAUGUCCACAGUGUAAACGAUGAAUGCUAGGUGUAGGUGGUAUCGCCCCCAUCUGUGCCUUAGUCAACACAGUAUGCAUUCAGCCUGGGGGGUACGGUCUUUAGAUGAAAACUUAAAGGAAUUCACGGUG